UACAUCGGCCAGCAGCUGCUUUAUAAAAGUAGAGGAAAGUCCGUGCUAACACCACCUGUAAUGGUGAUAAAGUUCACGUUAGGUCCAAUAAACCUAAGCUUAGACGACAAGUGCCACAGAGACGAGUAAAGUGAAACGAGGUAAACUCCGUGAGUUAGAAACCCAAAUUAUGGUAGGGGAAUUUUGACUAGGAAUUAAAACGAUGUCAAAAAAUGUUAAUACAUUAGAUAAAUUGCUGGCACUGCUAAAAUGCAGUACAGAACACGGCUUAUAGAU
rnacentral:RNase_P_RNA from 1 species